AACUGGCUUGCGUGAGCGAUAGAAACGGCAUCCUUUUUGCGUUUUCAGCAAAAAGAUAUAGUGAAUAGCGCGGUUUUUG
rnacentral:sRNA from 1 species